rnacentral:tRNA from 1 species
CAUUGAACAACCACAGAGGUAUUGGAUUUUUAAUCCAAUAAUAAUAUAUUAAAUAUUUUCAGU